rnacentral:rRNA from 1 species
GAGUUUGAUCAUGGCUCAGGAUGAACGCUGACAGAAUGCUUAACACAUGCAAGUCUACUUGAUCCUUCGGGUGAAGGUGGCGGACGGGUGAGUAACGCGUAAAGAACUUGCCUUACAGACUGGGACAACAUUUGGAAACGAAUGCUAAUACCGGAUAUUAUGAUUGGGUCGCAUGAUCUGGUUAUGAAAGCUAUAUGCGCUGUGAGAGAGCUUUGCGUCCCAUUAGUUAGUUGGUGAGGUAACGGCUCACCAAGACGAUGAUGGGUAGCCGGCCUGAGAGGGUGAACGGCCACAAGGGGACUGAGACACGGCCCUUACUCCUACGGGAGGCAGCAGUGGGGAAUAUUGGACAAUGGACCAAAAGUCUGAUCCAGCAAUUCUGUGUGCACGAUGAAGUUUUUCGGAAUGUAAAGUGCUUUCAGUUGGGAAGAAGUCAGUGACGGUACCAACAGAAGAAGCGACGGCUAAAUACGUGCCAGCAGCCGCGGUAAUACGUAUGUCGCAAGCGUUAUCCGGAUUUAUUGGGCGUAAAGCGCGUCUAGGCGGCUUAGUAAGUCUGAUGUGAAAAUGCGGGGCUCAACCCCGUAUUGCGUUGGAAACUGCUAAACUAGAGUACUGGAGAGGUAGGCGGAACUACAAGUGUAGAGGUGAAAUUCGUAGAUAUUUGUAGGAAUGCCGAUGGGGAAGCCAGCCUACUGGACAGAUACUGACGCUAAAGCGCGAAAGCGUGGGUAGCAAACAGGAUUAGAUACCCUGGUAGUCCACGCCGU